rnacentral:misc_RNA from 1 species
GGUGUUUCUUCUCUCUUUACAACCAUUUCUUCUAAUCGAUAGCAAAAGCAGAGACGGUUACCAUAUUUGGAUCCAGAAUAUGGCAGAUGAAGAAGUGAUGGUGGAAGCAACGAGCCCUGUUCCAUCAGAUCAUCACAAGAGAAAGCUGGAGGAUUUGGAGCUGAACGCACUUGAACCACACACUGAAAUCGGGUCGGACCCGAAUACCGAGACGGUGUCCGAUUCUGUCCAAAAACUUGACGGAACAAUUGAGGAAGAGGCGGCUGAUGUUGAUGGGUCUGAACCUAAACGACCUCGUUUGGAGGAUAAAGCUAAUGGAUUGGCAUCUCAAAAUGGUUAUGAGGAGAAGGUAGAGGAAGAGUUAAAAGUAGAUGAUAUUGAGCAGCGAGAAGUAGCCCAGGAGGCUCCUGAAUCCUGUAAAGAACAACCUGCUGAUGGUAAUCAGCAAACAGGGGAUGUUGAACAGUCUGAUGCCAAAACUUUUCUUGAGAUAGAGAACAGUACUCAGUUCAAUGAACCAUCUAAAGGUGACAUUC